GCUCAGACCGACCGCUGGCGCCAGGCCUACCACAUGCAAGUCGACCGCUCUCCUUCGGGAGGGAGUGGCGCACGGUGAGUAACGCGUGGGGAUUUGCCUUUGGGUAGGGAAUAACGCAGGGAAACUUGUGCUAAUACCCUAUACGCUCUACGGAGGAAAGAUUUAUCGCCCAAAGAUGAACCCGCGUAGGAUUAGGUAGUUGGUGAGGUAAGAGCUCACCAAGCCUACGAUCCUUAGCUGGUCUGAGAGGAUGAUCAGCCACACUGGGACUGAGACACGGCCCAGACUCCUACGGGAGGCAGCAGUGGGGAAUAUUGGACAAUGGGGGCAACCCUGAUCCAGCCAUGCCGCGUGAGUGAAGAAGGCCUUAGGGUUGUAAAGCUCUUUCACCGAUGAGGAUGAUGACGAUAGUCGGAGAAGAAGCCCCGGCUAACUUCGUGCCAGCAGCCGCGGUAAUACGAAGGGGGCAAGCGUUGUUCGGAAUUACUGGGCGUAAAGGGCGUGUAGGCGGAUAGACAAGUCAGGGGUGAAAUCCCGAGGCUCAACCUCGGAACUGCCUUUGAAACUGUUUAUCUAGAGUAUAGGAGAGGAUAGCGGAAUACCCAGUGUAGAGGUGAAAUUCGUAGAUAUUGGGUAGAACACCAGUGGCGAAGGCGGCUAUCUGGCCUAUUACUGACGCUUAGGCGCGAAAGCGUGGGGAGCAAAC
rnacentral:rRNA from 1 species